rnacentral:sRNA from 1 species
GUGAAAGGCAGCGUCGCAAAGACGCACCACCACCGCCGGUCUCGUUUGGGAGGACGCGAUCUUCGGCGCAUGGACAUGCUGCCCCGGCCAACGUCGCCGGCAGAAGAUCCAGACCGGCCAUUCUGAAUGCGAGGCGAAAGCCUCGCAUUUUUUU